rnacentral:pre_miRNA from 1 species
UAUAAUUUUUGACUCUUCGUCUUAUUCAAAAAAUUUUUGCGAUUGAUAUUUUUGUUUUUAUUAGAUGAUAAAUCACAAAUCGUACUUUACGUGUGACUAAUUUUUUUCUAAUUCCUGAAGAUUUUUCAAAUAAGACGGACGGUCAAACGUUGGACACGAAAACCGAAG